UACGGAGGAUCCAAGCGUUAUCCGGAUUUAUUGGGUUUAAAGGGUGCGUAGGUGGCUUAUUAAGUCAGGGGUGAAAGACGGUAGCUUAACUAUCGCAGUGCCUUUGAUACUGAUGAGCUUGAAUGAACUAGAGGUAGGCGGAAUGUGACAAGUAGCGGUGAAAUGCAUAGAUAUGUCACAGAACGCCAAUUGCGAAGGCAGCUUACUAUGGUUAGAUUGACACUGAGGCACGAAAGCGUGGGGAUCAAACAGG
rnacentral:rRNA from 1 species